AGCGAACGCUGGCGGCAGGCCUAACACAUGCAAGUCGAACGAACCCUUCGGGGUUAGUGGCGGACGGGUGGGCAACACGUGGGAACGUGCCUUUAGGUUCGGAAUAACUCAGGGAAACUUGUGCUAAUACCGAAUGUGCCCUUCGGGGGAAAGAUUUAUCGCCUUUAGAGCGGCCCGCGUCUGAUUAGCUAGUUGGUGAGGUAAUGGCUCACCAAGGCUACGAUCAGUAGCUGGUCUGAGAGGAUGACCAGCCACAUUGGGACUGAGACACGGCCCAAACUCCUACGGGAGGCAGCAGUGGGGAAUCUUGCGCAAUGGGCGAAAGCCUGACGCAGCCAUGCCGCGUGGAUGAUGAAGGUCUUAGGAUUGUAAAAUCCUUUCAUCGGUGAAGAUAAUGACUGUAGCCGGAGAAGAAGCCCCGGCUAACUUCGUGCCAGCCGCCGCCGUAACAC
rnacentral:rRNA from 1 species